AGUGAACGCUGGCGGCGUGCCUAACACAUGCAAGUCGAACGGGCUAGUGCUUCGCACUAGUCUCUUUCUGGGGUUGUUACUCUAAGGCUACCUGCUAAGGUUAUUGCUUUAAAGCAGGGGUUUUAGGAGACUUUCCCCGAAAGGGGCCAGUGCGGAGCACUGGCCAGUGGCGAACGGGUGAGUAACACGUGGGUAAUCUACCCUCGAGUGGGGAAUAAGCUUCCGAAAGGGGGUCUAAUGCCGCAUAACGUUUCAUAACGAUGGUUAUGAAACCAAAGCCCAAAAGGCGCUCGAGGAGGAGCCUGCGUCCUAUCAGCUUGUUGGCAGGGUAAUGGCCUACCAAGGCUAUGACGGGUAGCCGGCCUGAGAGGGUGUCCGGCCACACUGGAACUGAGACACGGUCCAGACUCCUACGGGAGGCAGCAGUGGGGAAUUUUGCGCAAUGGGGGAAACCCUGACGCAGCGACGCCGCGUGGAGGAUGACGGCCUCGGUUGUAACUCCUGUCGAGAAGGGACGAAAUCCGCAGGACG
rnacentral:rRNA from 1 species